ACAAGCGCGCGAUGUUUCAUCCCAAAAGCGACGCAAACUCGGGCCGCAGAUGGGUAGAAAGCGGACAGAAAAUGGACAAAAGUCUAUUUGCUCAUGCGCGCUGGGCCGUCUGGUUCGUUCCUUUUACCUCAAACUGACGCAUCCGGACAGGAUGAGGUCGCGCGGUGGAGUUAGCCUUACGUCCCGUGCCGCCCACAUGUGGAUGCCACUCUCUUGACCUGUGGCUUCUAGCAAAUUCACUGGAAUUUUCCGUCAUUUGACCCGCCAAAAUGAAAUCGGUUUGGUAAACCUGCGGGGUUUUCUCGAAAUUUUUACUGUUCUAUCCUCAAAAUCUUUUUUCUGAGACAACUUUAUUUCCUCUGUCUUAGCACGGCUGGUUUCCAGAACCAUGCCAAAAAUAAAGACGUGCCUACCGAUGGUCUCCAACUCCAUGCCUAAACGUAGGAGCAGGUCCGAUGCUCCGAUCAAGCAGUCCGUCCAUGCAUGACCUCGUGGGUCGCCAGUCUGAUCACGACAGGAGUGGCUCGAUCCAUGUGGUUUUGGCUGCAAAGAGGAGGGUGCGACGAUGCUGUGUGGAGAACAUUGACAGGUCUUGAGGUCUGCAUGGCCAUGGCGUAAGAGGACGCAAAGCUAGUGAUCGUCGGUUGCUAAUGGGAAGACCGGUUGAGGAGUCCCUGUCAAGCUCCGUCAGUGCCUCUGCCUGGAGAAAUUCCCGUAUCUAUCUUCUGUCGCGCUAGGCUCUUCCUUUGCAUAUAAUCAUUAGAUACACACGGCAAUGUGCAGGUCAGUCGGUUACGUUUCUUGAUGUUUCUUAGAAUGUUUGAUUAACAAACCUCCACAGUCGCUGAAAGUAUGCCCGCUCUGCCAUGGACGGCUAAGAUCUGCUCGUGCGGCCCCGCUUGCAUUCAUGCCUGCGUUUCAACGGGCAAAUGCUUCUGCACUUUUUAAGCAAUGAUGGAACCUAGAGGUAAUGUUUGAUUAACAGUGUUUUAUAUCCGCCUGGGUCAUCCUAUGUAUGUACCCUGGACCAGUACUCAAGUCUGCUCAUGCAAGUAUGCAAGCCCUAUGUAAUGGUCGAGGAAUAAUGCAGAGCAGUCAGCCUUUGGUCUCCAACUCUGCAUGCUAUUCUAGUAUGCUACCGUCAUGUGGUUCUUCUUCUUCGUAGGCUUCUCGUAUUGUCUGCACGUCCGAUGCUCGGAUCAAUACGUACAUGCAUGACCUCCUCACCAGGAUACCUGCUGGCUUGUCAGUUGUCACCGGUCUGAUCAGGACAGUAGUGGCUUUCACUUGGAUCCAUGUGAUUUUGGCUGCAAAGAGGAGGGUGCGACCCUGCGAGGCUCAUUGACAGGGCGUGGGGGUCUGCAUGGCGUAAGAGACCGCAAAGCUGGUGCUCUUUUUUUGGUUACUAAUGGGAGGACCGGUUGACGAGUCCCUGUCAACCACCGUCAGUGCCCCCGCCUGGAGGAAUUCAUGUAGGUUCUUCCGUUGCAUGAUCACUAGAUAAGGCGAUGUUGAUGGAGCAAUGAGUGAGCAUUAUGAUCGGCUCUACUUCCGUGGGAAGUGGUAACUGUAUCUUUCUUCUUGCUCUCGAGAUGGCGUGUAUGUGGAGGGAGUUACCUACUAACCUCUACAGUCGCUAGAGGUUUCUCUGCUCGUGCGGGCGUGCUCGAGGCCGGCACAGUGCUCCGGUCGGAGGCGCGGCGCGGAUCUGGCGGAUGUGCGCUCCGGAUCUGCAGUGGUUGCAUGGGCGAUGGUGAUCUGCCUUUCGUGUUUUAGUUUUGGCCAUGUUAAAUGUUGGCCCUUGAUUAGACUAGGUGGGCUCUCUCCGGCAAGGUGGUAGUCGGUGGUGGAACCACCGUCGGUGUUGGUCAUGGUGGUGACCACUGCGACCUGCGGGCGGCAACCUCGUUGGAGAUUGUGGUGCCUAUUGAAAGUUUUUUGUGAGGGUUUCUCUUUCCAGAUUCGGUGAUUGACUUCAGCGGUGAGAUGCAAACUAUGAACAACGACUUUGACACAAAAGGGUGGUUGCGUAGCGGGGGUGAUCGGAUCGCAUAUAGCCGCUGGUAUUGUGGAAAAGUGGUGGCGACAACACGCACUGUUUGGAUAUGCUCGCACUGGUUCUUCAGGGUGAAGACCUAGAUUCUGGCCUUGGUGGUUGGAUCCGAUGACGGCUACGCAUGAACGCCGUUCCCUUCCUGAAGGCGUUGUUAUUGAAGAACCUUAUCGUUUGUGUGUUGUCAUGAUAUAGUUGAUGUGGAUAUGGUCCUUAUUAUAGUCUGCCGAUCACAAAUCUGAUCACUUUAGGGUUUUUUUUCCUUGCCUACGCAUAGCUUUGGUCUUAUAUGACAUUGCUAUUUGCCGACGUAUUUUUUGUGUGCGUGCGUUGGUGUUGGCUAUGCGCAUUCUAGUUACACAAAGGCCGGGUGUAUACUCAUUGUAUUUGUAUUCUCUUGAUGCUUUAUUUUGAGCCAAUAAAAUUUAUCCUUCAUCGAAAAAA